CACUACACUGAGAACGUCUAAUGUGUUCUAUCCAUAGAGUUACUAUUCUAACUGGAGUGCUUACUUCGUUUGACAUAAAAACUAAAAAUAUACUUUAUCUCUAUGGCUUAAAGUUUAUUUUUAAAUAGCAAAAGAUGUAAGGAAAAACGGUCUGAAAAGAGAAUGAUUAUUAAGUGGUGGUGUCCCUCUCGCACAUUUUACAAACAAAAAGCAGUGUUGCUAGCUUAGGGGAUUUUCCAUAAAAUCUCGGAAUUUGGACCCCCGUCUUAGUUAUCAAAAAUGGCUUUUAGUGGUUAGUGGAUUUUUUAGUAGCUUGGGCGUUGUUGAAAAUUAUCGAAAAGGUUAAAAUCAAUCCACUUUACAGGAUUUUAAACAUUUUAUGACAAUAAUAUAUCUAAAUACAUAUUUUUUAAACGAUGUGACUUAAACUUAACUAGAAAAUGUUGCGACAAUUUAGAAUUUCCAUCAAUGUCAAAAAUUAAAUUGGUUCAAAAUAAACGUACAAAGUUAUGGUGAAAUUAGUUUCUGAUGAUGACAAUUUUUUAAAAUAAAUUAUAUAAGAAGUAUUGAUUAUAUGAUAUAUAUUGAUUUUUAAUAGAACAUCAUAUAUUAAUAAAGCUCGUUAACAAAAAAAAUAUUGUUCUAUAUUAAUAAGAACUCUGUUUAAUGGAAAAUGUAAUGGUAGGUACGUAGAUUUCUGAUGGUUUUCAUGUUGAAUUUGGUUGAAGCCAGAUUAAUUGUUGGCAUCACCGAAAAAGAGCUAUGAAUGGAUUAAAAGAAAAAUGGCGUCUAUUUACGUUUGUAGUGCGAAGUUAAAAUGGCACUGAUACAGCUUGUGGCUUGUUUUUUUUCGAAAAUCGUGAAAGUUUCCGUGUAAUCAUGGUGAACACUUUUAAUCGUCGCACGCAAGCAUGUAUAUCAUUUGCCUGACGUUAAGCGAACGAGGAGGAUCUUCUUUCUAGUAAAUAUGACGUUGGAAUUUCUGGAAAAUGUUCUAUAUAAAGGUCAAACAAGAAGAAUCAAGUACUCAAACGCAAGAAAUAAAAAAUACCCCGAGAAAAGCAAAAUUACGACAAGAUGUUAAGGUAUUGAAACAAAAACUUAAAAGUCGCGAAAUAGUGAUUGUAAAUAUAAAGUCGAUUUUAGAUUUAUUAAAGAAAAAUGGCGAUUUUUAAUUGAAUUGAAAUUUAAAUUGCGAAAUUUUAAUGAUACUCAUGGUCCACUUUGAUAUUGAUUAAAAUAAAUUAUGUAUUUCGUUGAAAAAAAAGAAUUUACUUAAAAUAGAGGAAAUGUUAUAUUAUAAGACUACAAAAAAUUAACUGAACUUAAUAAUAAUAAUAUAACCAAUAUUUUGUAAAUAGAGAUCAAGUACUAUGUGUAUUGUGUUAUGUGUAUUGACUUGUCAUUUAAGAGUUAUUUAAUUGUCUACAUAUAACAAAUAAAUGAAUUUCAGUUCAUUUCAUUUUAUUA